rnacentral:rRNA from 1 species
UACGUAGGUGGCAAGCGUUGCCCGGAUUUACUGGGCGUAAAGGGAGCGUAGGCGGACUUUUAAGUGGGAUGUGAAAUACCCGGGCUUAACCUGGGUGCUGCAUUCCAAACUGGAAGUCUAGAGUGCAGGAGGGGAAAGUGGAAUUCCUAGUGUAGCGGUGAAAUGCGUAGAGAUUAGGAAGAACACCAGUGGCGAAGGCGACUUUCUGGACUGUAACUGACGCUGAGGCUAGAAAGCGUGGGGAGCGAACAGG